GUCUAUGGCCAUAUCACCCUGAACGUGCCUGAUCUCUUCUGAUCUCGGAAGCUAAGCAGGGUCGGGCCUGGUUAGCACUUGGAUGGGAGACCCCUAAGAUGAUUUUUUUCAGCCUCCAAUGGGCC
ensembl:rRNA 5S_rRNA 5S ribosomal RNA